rnacentral:rRNA from 1 species
GUGCACCAGGCGCGAAACCUCCGCAAUGCGGGAAACCGUGACGGGGUCACCCCGAGUGCCACCCGAAGAGGGUGGCUUUUCCCCGGUCUAAAAAGCCGGGGGCAAUAAGCGGGGGGCAAGUCUGGUGUCAGCCGCCGCGGUAAUACCAGCCCCGCGAGUGGUCGGGACGUUUAUUGGGCCUAAAGCGUCCGUGGCCGGCCCGGUAAGUCCCUCCUUAAAUCCACGGGCUCAACCCGUGGGCUGGGAGGGAUACUGCCGGGCUAGGGGGCGGGAGAGGCCGAGGGUACUCCCGGGGUAGGGGCGAAAUCCGUUAAUCCCGGGAGGACCACCAGUGGCGAAGGCGCUCGGCUGGAACGCGCCCGACGGUGAGGGACGAAAGCUGGGGGAGCAAAGGGGAUUAGAUACCCCUGUAGU